rnacentral:rRNA from 1 species
GCACAAGCGGUGGAGCAUGUGGUUUAAUUCGAAGCAACGCGAAGAACCUUACCAGGUCUUGACAUCCCCUGACAACCCAAGAGAUUGGGCGUUCCCCUUCGGGGGACAGGGUGACAGGUGGUGCAUGGUUGUCGUCAGCUCGUGUCGUGAGAUGUUGGGUUAAGUCCCGCAACGAGCGCAACCCUUGUCUUUAAUUGCCAUCAUUCGGUUGGGCACUCUAAGGAGACUGCCGGUGUCAAACCGGAGGAAGGUGGGGAUGACGUCAAGUCCUCAUGGCCCUUAUGUCCAGGGCUACACACGUGCUACAAUGGCCGGUACAAAGGGUUGCCAAGCCGCGAGGUGGAGCUAAUCCCAUAAAACCGAUCGUAGUCCGGAUCGCAGUCUGCAACUCGACUGCGUGAAGUCGGAAUCGCUAGUAAUCGUGAAUCAGAAUGUCACGGUGAAUACGUUCCCGGGCCUU